CGGCGGACGGGUGAGUAACACGUGGAUAACCUACCUAUAAGACUGGGAUAACUUCGGGAAACCGGAGUUAAUACCGGAUAAUAUAUUGAACCGCAUGGUUCAAUAGUGAAAGACGGUUUUGCUGUCACUUAUAGAUGGAUCCGCGCCGCAUUAGCUAGUUGGUAAGGUAACGGCUUACCAAGGCAACGAUGCGUAGCCGACCUGAGAGGGUGAUCGGCCACACUGGAACUGAGACACGGUCCAGACUCCUACGGGAGGCAGCAGCG
rnacentral:rRNA from 1 species